AACGAACGCUGGCGGCAGGCCUAACACAUGCAAGUCGAACGCUCCGCAAGGGGAGUGGCGCACGGGUGAGUAACACGUGGGAACCUACCUUCUGGUACGGAACAACCAAGGGAAACUCUGGCUGAUACCGUAUACGACCUCCGGGUGAAAGAUUGAUCGCCGGAAGAGGGGCCCGCGUCCGAUUAGGUAGUUGGUGAGGUAACGGCUCACCAAGCCUGCGAUCGGUAGCUGGUCUGAGAGGAUGACCAGCCACACUGGGACUGAGACACGGCCCAGACUCCUACGGGAGGCAGCAGUGGGGAAUAUUGGACAAUGGGCGCAAGCCUGAUCCAGCCAUGCCGCGUGAGUGAUGAAGGCCUUCGGUU
rnacentral:rRNA from 1 species